GCUGCAGUCGUCUAGUGGUAAGGACAUCAGUUUGUGGUUCAGUGAAAUCACUGAAAACGGAGGUUCGAUUCCUCCCUGUGGCA